CCUCGCGACCAUAGCGGCGGGGUCACACCCGGUCCCAUUCCGAACCCGGAAGUUAAGCCCGCUGUCGCCGAUGAUACUGCUUUGGUGGGAAAGUAGGUGUCGCGAGGU
rnacentral:rRNA from 1 species